UUCUUGGUUUAACGAUUCUUGGUUUAACGAUUCUUUUUGGGUUAUCUGUUUAUUUUAACAGAAUAUACUAUUCUUUAACAGAAUAUCCAUAAUUAAUUUUAUAUUAUUUUAUAAAUUAUUUUAUUAAAAAAAUAAAAAAUUAUAAAUAUUCUUUUCAAUCGUUAACUGAAAAGAUAAAAAAUAAUAUAUAAUUUAGCUACAACCUAAAAUUUUGGAAAGUAGUUAAGUAUUAUCGAUAUCGAUGAUCAUACAUUAACUUCUCCUUGAGAUUAAUUCUCUCUCAGUUUAUUUAAAAAAAAAAUCUCUAAGGCCGUCGUCUACGAUCAACAAGGUCCUCCCGAUGUCGUUACAAGAAUUGUAGAAUUGCCGCCUGUAGAAGUGAAAGAGAACGAUGUCUGUGUUAGGAUGAUAGCUGGGCCUAUCAACCCAUUUGAUAUUAAUCGAAUUGAAGGGGUAUAUCCUGUGAGGCCGCAAGUUCCAGCUAUCGAAGGAUAUGAAGGUGUUGGAGAGGUGUACAUCAAACAGCUUCGGUACCUUUACUUAAAUCGUUGGGAGAUGGAUAGGAGAUUACUCAAAUCACCGUUGUCGCAGAGAGAUCUCACCUAGGUAUUCUCCUUCUCUUAAUUUCUGUUUCUCUUUACACUUUUUUGUUAUUAUUCUCUUUCUCUUAAUUUCUGUUUCUCUUUACACUUUUUUGUUAUUAUUCACUUUCCCAACAUUUUCAAGUUUGGUCUUUUGUAUCUCUUUCACAUUCUAUUUACGGUAUGUGUAGGUUUUUUAAUAAUUGAUUGCUUGUUUAUUAUUUUGAGAAUUUGGGGUAUGAGAUGUUAUUGUUUUAUGCUAUGGUAAAAGGCUUCAGGGAUUUAUAUACUAUAGUUUACUCAUCUUAUUUUUCUAAGACCAGAAAACAGAGCACAAAGUCCUUGCAUAAGUUGGAAAAUGGUGAGGAAGUCAAUCAGGAAAUGAAUAUUCUAAUGGAAUAGAAGGGAAAAAUCUCUAAUUCAAUACAUAUAGAUAGAGGAAGAUGAGAUGCAGUGGUCUCGGGAUCAGUGUUCAGGACGCAGAAAAAUGAGAGGGUUUCCUUGAGAAUGCAGGUAAUUUUUUAUGUUCUUCAUUAUUUGCCAUAUUUAUCUAUUUUUGCUUAGCUCCUUUGUUUAACGGAUUACAAUGUCCUUCCAGUGCCUUCUUUGCAUUGAUUUUGAAAUUUGGAUAACCUUGAAUAUCUGCAGUAUGUCAACACAUUCAUUGAGAUGUUUUUGAUUGGAUAUAUCUACACUAACCUGGCUAUCUUUUACUGUAUUACUAUGUUCUGCACAAAGAACCUGCUUUCUUGCAUUAAUUUCGUUGUUAUGUGACUUUGAGUUUCUCGUGAUAGAAUUUGGUCCAAGAUGACUUCAUCAGAUUCUAAGAAGCUUACCUUUGAGGAGUGGCCCAGCAUAACUAUAAGAAAGAUUGUUGGAUUAUAAUUUCUGGAAAGUUUAUUUAAAAAAAAAAUCUCUAAGGCCGUCGUCUACGAUCAACAAGGUCCUCCCGAUGUCGUUACAAGAAUUGUAGAAUUGCCGCCUGUAGAAGUGAAAGAGAACGAUGUCUGUGUUAGGAUGAUAGCUGGGCCUAUCAACCCAUUUGAUAUUAAUCGAACUGAAGGGGUAUAUCCUGUGAGGCCGCAAGUUCCAGCUAUCGAAGGAUAUGAAGGUGUUGGAGAGGUGUACAUCAAACAGCUUCGGUACCUUUACUUAAAUCGUUGGGAGAUGGAUAGGAGAUUACUCAAAUCACCGUUGUCGCAGAGAGAUCUCACCUAGAAAACAGAGCACAAAGUCCUUGCAUAAGUUGGAAAAUGGUGAGGAAGUCAAUCAGGAAAUGAAUAUUCUAAUGGAAUAGAAGGGAAAAAUCUCUAAUUCAAUACAUAUCUUCGAAUCAAAAAGAGAUAGAGGAAGAUGAGAUGCAGUGGUCUCGGGAUCAGUGUUCAGGACGCAGAAAAAUGAGAGGGUUUCCUUGAGAAUGCAGAAUUUGGUCCAAGAUGACUUCAUCAGAUUCUAAGAAGCUUACCUUUGAGGAGUGGCCCAGCAUAACUAUAAGAAAGAUUGUUGGAUUAUAAUUUCUGGAAAGACAUCCAACACAAACAUGUUUCAUGUCAUCUGUUGAUCUGCACACUUAUUACUCAUACCAGUUGAUGAGAUCUCAAUACUUCAUGAGGUGCUUGGUGAGAGGCGUGCUUAUGAUCGCGGAACAGGUCGCAAAUUGAAAGGUCAAUUGUCAAGACAACACACACAAUCUGCACCUACUCAACAAGUGCCUAUGGACUUAGCGCGACAGAUAGCUAGAUUACAAAGGCAGGUUGAACACAUGAGUCAAAAACUUCUACUUGAGGAUCGUUUGCCACCCAACGAGGACAUAUUUUCCAGAUGUUCAUGCAGAUGAUAUCACAGUCAUUGCCUAUGAUGUAGAAGAUGUCGCAGGUACUUCAGACGUCACAGAUGCCACAGAUGAUGCCGAUGCCACAAAUGCAACAAACAUCACAAAUCCCAGGAGUACAACCUACACCUUCGCAACAGACUCGAGGAAAUGAGAAUGGUGGUGAUGAUAAUGAGUCCACGUCUUAGAUGUUUAGUUUAUUACUUUUGUUAGUAUAAGUAUUUAUGAACUCUUUUAGUAUAAACUCAAGGAAAUCAUUCGCAUAAUUAUA